AUGUUCCCCAUGUUCCAGGAGCUUGCACCACACGACCCAGACGACAAGUGUGGUCACCACUACGCGAUCUGUCUUGACCUGAAGAACCAAUGCUUUGAGAUGCUUGAUUCAAUGCGUUCGGCAGCUGAUGCAGACCUUACUUCACAUGCUGAAUUCUUCAUCAACAACGUCAAAGAGACAUGGAACCGUCACUACGAAAACUCAGAGGUCUAG
rnacentral:rRNA from 1 species